UAUAUAAAUAUAUAAAAUAUAGUUUAGAAUUAGGAAAAAAUUCUAAAAUAGCACAUUUCUAAGUUUAUAUCACAAAAAUAGCCUUCAAAAACUAAAUUGACAAAAAUAGCAUUUUAUUUUAUGUUUUGAAAAAUUUAAUUUUUUUUUAUUUUUCAAAAUUUAAAAUCUUAUCCCAAAACCCCACUCUCCAACUCUAGACCCUAAAACCCUAAACCCUAAACUUUAAACUCUAAAUCCUAAAGGGGAAAUUUUACUUCUACACUUUCUUUAGUACCACAUUUCAAGUAUACCACUAGUAUGGGGACAUUUUUACAAAUACACUUUUCAUUAAUGACCAAAAGACCAUAUUAGCCCUAACUUUAUCUCUCUCUCUCUCGCGAUCCUCUUUUCUUCCUCUCUCUUUCUCUCGAUCUUUUUUCUUCUUCUCUGUCUCCGAUUCACCGGAGAUCCACCAUCUCUCCUCCUUCUCAUCCGUCCCUAACCAAGGCUUGGAUAUCGCGUCUCUCCUCCUUCUCCUCUUACUUCCUCCGAUUCUGCGAUCUCGGAUUGCUUCGCAACCACACCAAAGCUCUCUGCCUCUCCGCCGGCGCCGGACACGCUCCGAUGGCGAUGGCCCAGAUCGAGUUAUCUGACGUUACCGCCGUGGAGUUGGUGGAUUCGCUUCCUCUCGAGAGAAGAGCUGAUCCUCAUAACCUUCAUUUUUCGACGGUGCGUUUGAUUUCGCGUUUACUGCGCAUCUUGAUGAUGCUCUGUUUCCGUGGAGGGUCGUGGAGGAGAUGGAGAGGACGGUGAGGCGAGGCGCAGUUGAUUAUUUAACAAACUUUAUAAACUGUCUUAUAAGCCUUUCUAAAUUGUCUUUUAGUUGAUUGAGUUACUUCACACAUCGUUUUCUGCAGCUAAGGUGGAGCCUUCACUUGCGUUAUAUCAUACUUUUUAUCGCUGCUAAAAGAAACAGACUCUGCAAUCUAAGACACAAGAAGAAACUAAAAAAUGUCAAUGGUUGGUCAAUAAGACUUUAGAAAAAAAAACAAGAGACAAUGAUGAAUUUGAUGAUUAACAUUGUAGAUCAAAGAAAAUGUGUGAUGGCAGAGUUGUGGCUCUCAUAUAAGCUUGAACAAUGCUUCUUUUAUGAGUGUCGGGAACUGAACAUGUCAAUUACAUUACUAAAUAACUUCGAUUUAUAAAGAGUUAUAAAUUUUCAAAAACUCAAUGUUCACUAUUAGAAAUCUUUCUCUUAGAUCAGAAUAUUAAUAGAUAACUCUUUCUCUUAGAUCAAAACAACAAAAUCCGAAAAAAUACUUACAGGUUGUGAUUCUUGCUGAGGAUUCAACAUUUGAAGUUAUAAGACAGUUUAUAAAGUUGGUUAAAUAAUUUAUAAGGUUUAUAAAUUCUGCACAAUUUUGAAGUUAACUACGAGGUAUUGUGAUACUUCAACAGAGCUACCAGACAAGCCAAAACUGAUCAUCCAACGUUCAAAUAUGAAUUAUGUUGAAAAUGAUUUUUUGUAUUUUAGGUAAGGAGGAAUUUAGUGAAAUUGAGAAUUCACACCUUGCGGAAGUGUUGUAGAACUAGCUAGAAAGAAUAACAUUCAAUUUUCAGGAGAACCUUAUGCAAAUAAGAUUAUUGAUGAAUGGGGGUAGAUCUAUGGUUCACUUUCUCAUAUCAACCAAUGGGGUUAGAUCUAUGAUUAUUGAUGAAUGUAAAUAAUUUAUAAAAGUUUAUAAAAAACGUUAUGAAAGCAUACAUUCAAUUUAUAAGGGUAUUAUAUGAGUUCCAUAGGUUUAUAAAUCAACUAAAAGAGUCUAUAACAAUUUAGAAAGCCUUAUAAAACAAUUUAUAAUGGUUUGUAUAAUAAUUUAUAAGGGUUUAUAAGGGUAUGUAAAUAAUGUAUACGGGUUUAUAAAAAUAAUUUAUUAAGUUUAUACACCACUAUAAAAUAUUAUAAAAUGAUUUAUAAGGGAAUUUAAAAUUUCUGAAGCGGUGGAGUCUUGAUUGUUGUCCACAUGUACCUCAGAAUCUGCCACGUAUCAUCAUCUCCUUACAAAUCCUUAUAAGGAUAUGUAAAAUUAUUUGUAAGAGUUUAUAAACUAUUAAUAAAUGCAUAUAAAACAAGUUAUAAAAUCUAUAAACCAUUUAUAAAUGUUUAUAAGAAAGUUAUGAAAGUUUAUAAAUAAUUUAUAAUGGGUAUGUAUACUAUUAAUAAGAGUUUAUAAAAACUGUAUAAAAGAUUAUAUUCAAUUUAUAAGACGUAUUAUAAGUGUUGUAUAGGUUUAUAAAUCAACUAAAAGAGUCUAAAACCAUUUAGAAAGCCUUAUAAAACAAUUUAUAAUGGUUUGUAUAAUAAUUUAUAAGGGUUUAUAAGGGUAUGUAAAUAAUGUAUACGGGUUUAUAAAAAUAAUUUAUUAAGUUUAUACACCAUUAUAAAAUAUUAUAAAAUGAUUUAUAAGAGAAUUUAAAAUUUUUGAAGCGGUGGAGUUUUGAUUGCUGUCCACAUGUACCUCAGAAUCUGCCACGUAUAAUCAUCUCCUUACAAAUCCUUAUAAGGAUAUGUAAAAUUAUUUGUAAGAGUUUAUAAACCAUUAAUAAAUGCAUAUAAAACAAGUUAUAAAAUCUGUAAACCAUUUAUAAAUGUUUUUUAGAAAGUUAUGAAAGUUUAUAAGUAAUUUAUAAGGGGUAUGUAUACUAUUAAUAAGAGUUUAUAAAAACUUUAUGAAAGAUUAUAUUCAAUUUAUAAGGGGUAUUAUAAGAGUUGUAUAGGUUUAUAAAUCAACUAAAAGAGUCUAUAACCAUUUAGAAAGCCUUAUAAAAUAAUUUAUAAUGGUUUGUAUAAUAAUGUAUACGGGUUUAUAAAAAUAAUUUAUAAAGUUUAUACACCAUUAUAAAGGAUUAUAAUAAAACAAUUUAUAAGGAUAUGUAAAAUUUCUGAAGCAGUGGAGCCGUGCUUGCUGUCCACAUGUGCCUUAGAAUCUGUCAUGUAUCAUCAUCUCUUUACAAAGCCUUAUAAGGGUAUGUAAAAUUAUUUGUAAGAGUAUAUAAACCAUUAAUAAAGACAUAUAAAACAAGUUAUAAGAUCUAUAAAUCAUUUAUAAAUGUUUAUAAGAAAGUUAUGAAAGUUUAUAAAUAAUUUAUAAGAGGUAUGUAUACUAUUAAUAAGGGUUUAUAAAAACUUUAUGAAAGCCUUAUAAAAUAAUUUAUAAUGGUUUGUAUAAUAAUAUAUAAGGGUUUACAAGAGUAUGUAAAUAUUUUAUAAGGGUUUAUAAAAAUAAUUUAUAAAGUUUAUACACCAUAAUAAAGGAUUAUAAAAUAAUUUAUAAAAGUAUGUAAAAUUUCUGAAGCGGUGGAGUCUUGCUUGCUGUCCUCAUGUGCCUCAUAAUCUGCCACGUAUCAUCAUCUCUUUACAAAAGUAUAUAACUAUUUAUACAGGUUUAUAAAACUAUUUAAAAGGGUGUAUUAAACUAUUUAAAAGAACAUAUAAGCUAUUUAUAAGUCUAUUGUUAAAAGUACAACUCGACGAUUUAUAAGUUUUUAUUAAGAAGUUUUUAAACAAGAGUUGAUUGUAUAUGUCUAUACAAAACACAUAAAUGUUUGAAAUUGAGAAGUCUUGUGAGGAAUGCUAGGCAGAAUGAGUGUAAGAAACUCAAAGUGAUUUAUAAGCGUUUAUAAAUUUAUUUACAAUGGCUUAUAAGGUAAUUUUUCUAAAAUCCCUCCAAAAGACAAUCAACACAAAAAAAGACAUAUCUGGUGAAAGAGCCACGUCCUUCAACAAGGGAUAUAUUGCUUUAACAUAGUCUGAGAACAUCAAGGCUUCUCCAUAUCUCACUCUUCUAUAAAAGAAACAAUUGAAACCAAACUCACUUACAUGUCCAACUAAUAUCUUCAACUAUGCAACUACUAAAAGAGAGAUACAAUUGUUUUAGUAUAAGAGAUGUCUGAAGAAGAUGAGAGAGAAAAAUGUACUAAGAAGCCAACUCUGCAACUUUUAUAAAGCGUUAUAAAUACGUAAUUCUUUGAUAGCACAAACCACAUUCUUCUUCAGAGUCUCUCUUGCCUCUUCAGAGUUUCAAUUACUUAGCCACAGAAUAACAUGCCAUUUCAUGGAAAGAGCAAGACUAUGAGUUGAAAGAACUAUAUAAAGCUCUCAUCUGAACAUUAGAGAUAAUUCCUUGUUCUCAACAAAAAGUUGUCAUUUCAAACAUAAUCCGAGAACAUCAAGGUUUCUCCACAUCACACUCUUCUCUUUUGUAAAAAAAAAAAACAAUUGCAGCCAAAUUCACUUAGGUGUCCAACUAACCUCUUCAACUUUGCAAGUCUUAGGAGAGAUAUACAAUUGCUUUAGUAUAAGAGAUGUCUGAAGAAGAUGAGAGAGAAAAUGGUGUUAAGAAGCCAACUCUGUAACUUUUAUUAAGCUUUAUAAAUCUGCAAUUCUUUGAUCUCACAAACCAUGUUCUUGUUCUGAGUCCCUCUUACUUCUUCAAACAGCUCACCAACCUCGUCGAUCUUCAAAAUCUGGACACAACCCAAUCACAUAUUAUUCCUACGCAUAAACACUCACUUCCAAAAACAAGAUUCACUGUAAUUUAACUCAGAAAUGUGCACUUCAAAGUUCAAACACGUCAAUUAGAUUUGGGAUUUUACAUAGAUUCAAUUGAACUAAUUUACUCAAUUGAACUCAGAAAUCAAAUCCACUGACACAAACUAUCUUUAAGUUUGCCGAUCGUGUUCACCGGAGGUAAAUUUGGUCGGAGCAAUUGGAUAUGGUCACUGGAGCAUCGUUGGUUCAAUCAUCAUAACCUGAUUAUAAGAAAUAUAGGGAUCAAGGAAGGAAUAGAAAAUAUUCAACACAAAAAAAAUCUCAAAACAAGAAAGCUCAACUUGAGAUUUUAUAAACUUAAGAUUUUAUAAACUUGAGAUUUGAAAACUUCACGAGAAAAAUUCCGUCUUCCUUCGCAGAAACAUAUCGAUUUUGAGAAACAAAAGCUACAAUUACAGAAAGAGACGAAAAUCAACAUCUAUUAUCCUUUGACCUUUGUUAGCGUUUCUUAGCGUCGUGAGAGAGAUCGCCGUAGCUUCGUCGGAUCUCGCCGCAGCUUCGUACGAUCUCGCCGCAGCUUCGUACGAUCUCGCCGUAGCUUCGUCGGAUCUCUUUGUAGCUUCGUCGAAUCUCGCCGUAGCUUCGUCGGAUCUCGCCGGACAACUCUGCAGAGUCGUCCAAUCUCGCCGGAGAACUCGUCACCGCCGGAAUCCGUCGCCGAUUUGUGAGAUGAUGAGAUUUGAUUAUCGUGAGAUGUAAGAGAGAAGAGUUAGUCUUAGGCUUAAUUAGUUAGGGGUAUAAAAGUACUUUGCCAUUUAAAAUUUUAAUGGUAAAAUUGAAAAGUGUAAAGUUGAAAAGUGGUAUUAGGAAAGUGGUAUUAGUGGCAAUUCCCCAAAUUGCCACAAAUACCACUUUCAAUGUACCACUUUUCAUUAAUACCUUAACCAACUUUACCAUUAAAAUUUUAAUAGGCAAAAUACAAUUAUAUCCAUAUCUAAUUAAAACUACAACUAUUAUCUUCUUCUCCACUAUCUGAUAAUCAAUCCGACGAGAUCCGGUGAUUCUGACGAGUUUUCCGGCGAGCUUUGACAACGAAGACGAGUUCUCUUGCGAAAUCUGACGAUGCUGAUGAGUUCUCUGGCGAAACACGAAUGAGACGAUCAACGCUAACGAGUUUUCCGGCGAGAUCUGACGAUGCCGAGAAGUUCUCCGGCAAAGCUGACAGACUCGACAAGCUCAGACGAACGAGACGAUCUCUCUCCCAACGCCUAAGAAACACUAACAAAGGUAAGAUGAUAGUAUAUGGUGAUUUUUGCCUCUUUCUGUAAUUUUAGCUUGAUUUAUCAAAACCGAUAUGUUUCUAAGAAAGAAGACGAAGUUUUUCAAGUGAAUUUUUCAGAUAUCAAAUUUAUAAGAUCUUAUAAAUUGGGUCCUUUCAAAUCUUACUGUUGAUCUAUUAGCAAUCAAAAGACAUAAAGCUUAACGUAAGAGUACAAUUAUUGAUUUGGUUGAUUUAUUUUCAUAGUUUUCAGAUUUAUAUAAUUAUUUAAUUCAUGAGAAGGUACUAACCUAAGAGUAUAAUUAUUCCAUGAUUACUUCUUCUCUUGGUUGAUUUGGUGAUGUUGCAGAGAAUUACAAAUGUGUGUUGUCAGCUUUUGGAUUUAAAGGAUGUUGUGGAGAAUAUGUGUGGUGAUAUGCAUAUAUAAGUAUCUCACUUCCUUAAGGCAAUACAAUGCUACUAUUUGUAGUUUGACUAGCAAUGUUUUAGUAUGUGCAGUAUAUGAGGUGGAACGUUGGUGUUUUGGUAGUGUAACGUUCUAUUUAUACUUUGUGAGAUUUAUUUUUUAUUUCUUGUUUUGUGUAUAAUAUCUACAGAAGCAGUGGAGAUGAAUGAUGAGUUUGUUGAGUUNNNNNNNNNNNNNNNNNNNNNNNNNNNNNNNNNNNNNNNNNNNNNNNNNNNNNNNNNNNNNNNNNNNNNNNNNNNNNNNNNNNNNNNNNNNNNNNNNNNNUUUUAAAAAAAAAUUAAUUUAUAUAUUUCUCUAUUUAUUAAAUAUAUUUUUUUAAUUUACAGGUCUCAUGAUGAUCAGACCCGGCCUCGACAGCGUCGUGGUCGUGGUGGUACGGGGAGCCAGUCUCGGGAUUCCAGCCGUUUUCAGGAUUCCCCUUCGCCCCACAGCUCCAACCAUACAUCUCCCUCUGCUGCACCCGCUCCUGCUCCUCUCGCUCCCGCUGCUGCAUCCGCUCCUGUUCCUCCGGGUCCUCCGGGAGUGAUGCGUGUUGCGGAGUUGGUUCAACAGCCCGGUCGUGACCAUCUUCCGUAUCUCACUCAGUAUCCACAUGGACGGGGUCAAACAUGGUAAUUAAACAUUUUUUUUUCUUUAAAUUUGGAUUCAUUAUUAACCGUUUAUUCUUUUUAUUAGGUUCAACCGAUCCGGGAACGGGAUCAGCGCAUGGAUCAACCGUAUGAUGUACUCGGCCCUCGACAGUGGACAUCCGACUUUCACUCACUUCCCUACCGACAAGCAGAUUCUGUGGUUUCGUCAGUUUGCGGUAAGUAUUCUAAUUUUUUACUUAUAUUUUUAAUCUUUAAUAUAAAUGUUCUACUAAUUGUGUUUUUUUUUCAGCAAGAGUUCAACUGGAAUUCCGAUGAGACGCUUUUUAUCUAUCACCACUUCGUCCAUAAAGUUAUGGACAACUAUGGGAAGCAGAUCCACGAGUGGAAGAAGAAGUGGGAAAUCAAUAAGGUUCGAUUUAAUUUAUUAAACUAUUUUUUAAUUUAUUAAACUAUUUUUUUUUUAUUAAAAGGUCUCAAAGUCGAUGAACGACACGGUCUGGAAGGAGUUGUGUGCGCAUUGGGAUAAGGAAGAGACGAAAGAAACUUCUUCCACCAACUCCACCAACCGAAGGAGCGACCGUAAAGGGGAGGGCAUCUACAAGCAUAACUUGGGUGCUCAAUCUAUUGCCACUCUGGGAGAUCGCAUGGUAAGUUCAACCGCUUUUUCUUCAAUUAUUUGAGUUUCAGAAUUUUAAUUUAUUGUGCAUUUCUUCUAAUUUCUAAUGUUUCUUUAAUUUAUAUUUUUUUUCAAGGCGGAAGAAAAUGAUGGCGAGCCGGUUGAUGAUCUCGCCCUAAUGAGGAGGGCGUAUACCAACAAGAAGACCGGCCAGAUUGAUGACGGUCUUGUGAGGGACUUGGUCAACCUGGUCCAAACUCAGGUGGUAGACGAAGUGUCUCAGCUUCAAACCAAGGAUGACGCUUCGACGGCUUCGACGGCUUCGACCAACUUGUCCCGGUUUCGAAUCAACGAAAUCGUUGAAUCCGUAAGUUCUUUUUUUUUUAAAGUUCAAUUCAUUUAUUUCUUGGUUUAAAUUUGUAAAUUUGGCUAUUUUCUAUUCAGUCGGUUCCAAAGAAGAAGGGACGUUUGGUCGGUUUGGGUCGUCGCACCCGGUCGGUUCCUCCUUCUUCUGCACCACCGCCUUUUGUUGAUCCAGAAGUACUUACGGCUCAGUUGAAGGACAAAGAUGAUCGUAUAUCUUUGUUGGAGACCCAGAUGGCGGCUCAACAGGCGGGCUAUGAGGCACAGAGGAGGCUGAACCAGCAAAUGAUGGAGAUGAUGCAGAGGAUGUACCCGAACGAGGUGUUCCCGGACGUGCCAGACCCGUAGUUUUUUUUUUCCAAAAACUCGGAAUUUUUUAUUUUUAUUUGUGAAACUUUGAAUAUUAAUUAAUAUGAUUUCAAUUUUAAUUUUAAUUUCAUAUUUUCGAAUUUAAAUUUCAGAAAUUUUAUUUUUUAAAAAAUAUUAAUAUUUUUUACAUUACGACGAAAUUAAUUAUAUUUUUUACUCGAUCGAUCGAUGCGUUUUUGGACAUAAAUCCAUCGAUCGAUCUGUUUACAAAAAAACGUUCGGAAUAUACCGAGGGACACGUUCCUCGGAAUUUUUUUAAAAAAAUUAAUAUUUUUUACAUUCCGAGGAAAUUAAUUAUAUUUUUUACUCGAUCGAUCAAUGCGUUUUUGGACAUAAAUCCAUCGAUCGAUCUGUUUACAAAAAAACGUUCGGAAUAUACCGAGGGACACGUUCCUCGGAGGAACUGUUCCCUCGGUAUAUACCGAGGGACAUUUCCCUCGGAAUAUUCCGAGGAACCGGUUCCUCGGAAUAUACCGAGGGACAUGUUCCUCGGAAUAUUCUGAGGAAUAUGUCCGUCGGUAUAUUCCUAUCGAUCGAUGUAUAUAUGUCCAAAAAUGCAUCAAUCGAUGAACGUCCGAAGAAAUAUCCCGACGAAGUUCUCCCUCGGUAUAUUCCGAGGACAUUUCCGACAAACUAGUGAUCCUCGGAAUUUCUUCGGAAGUUUGUUUCCUCGGAAUUCCGUCGGAAAAUUCCGAGGGAUUUCCGAGGAAAGAAGAAAUUCUGAGGAAUUAUUUCCGACGACUUGUUUUGUCGGUAUGUCGUCGGAAUAACGAUAUUCCGACGAAAUUCCGACGAUUUUUUCCCUCAGAAUCCUUGCUGUUUUCUUGUAGUGAGCUACUCUCACGGUUAUCAAACAAACGUCUCACUAUUCAGUUUUGGUUGAGAAGUAACUCCUAUCAUAGUUAUCAAUUUCAUUUCAGCAAUUAAGUGAAAUACUUAAUGCAUUCUUUUCUAUGUCCAUGUAAUCAAUUUAUGAGUUCCGAAGAAGACAUCUAUGUCGAUGUAAUCAAGUUAACUUUAUUUCUCAGAAUUAUUUAUAAUUACUUAAUGUUAUGAGUUUGAAAUCCAUGAGUGAACGAGUGAAUGAUCAUCUACUUAUCAGAUUAAUGCUAAGAACACACAAAUAUCAACGUCUGUAUCAAUAAGAACUCAUCAUUUUAAAUUCACCAAGAAAUCACCAAUCCUUUAAAAUCACCACAAACUACGAGUUAAAAUCACCUAGUUACAAAACAUAUAUCAUUCAAUCAGAUAAGACCAAGCAUACAAUCAAUUGGCCACAUGACAGGCAAGGAACCAAACGAAGAUACAGUCGAGUUAGAUCAACAAAUAAAAACUCUAAUAUCUCAGACCGACGGACAUGCAAUGAGGCAAACCCAGAUACAGACAAGAUAAAUCGACAAAUUAAAGCUCUAAAAUCUCAAAACGACAGACAUGCAAAGAGCGAAACCCAGUUGCAGACGAGCUAGAUCGACAUAUAAAUACUCUAAACCUCAAAACGACGGACAGAAGAUUGAGCGAUACCUGGUUUUAGUUUCCAAUCGGCGGAGAAAUCUGUGGAGUGAGGGAGAACAGAUCGGUGCGGAGUGAGCGAUCGGCGGAGAUCUCGGUCUGGGUGAAAUUGGCGGAGAGAUAGGCGGAGAGAAACGCGGAGAGAUAGGUGGAGAGAUCGUCUUUUGGUUCGGCGGAGCCUAGAGGCGUUGAACCGUCGAGAGAGAGAAGAGAGAAGAGAGAAGAAAGAAUGAUGUCGAGACGGUAAACUCGACGGUCUCUUCCUAUUUCCUCUUUUUCCUACACGAUGACACGUGCCCUUAACAUACGUUGCCUUAAACCUCUUAGUUAACAUACGUUUGCUUCCAUUUAAUUUAGUUUCGAUUUAAUUUUGAUGAUUAAUUUGUUUAGGAUGCGGCUUAGGACCACGAUAAUGAUGCUCUAAGAGACAGAGAGGCAGAGAGGACGCGUAGAGACGGAGUUUGUUACAGAGGGGAUAUAAAUAGAGACCAAGAUGGUGACGUAACUCGAAAGCUAUUACCGAACCGGCCGAAUAAAAAGGAAGAGACAAAACUAGUUGCGGUUUUGUCUUUUCUCAAACCGGUUGCUGACGCGUAUGCUUAGCUUGUUAGUUGACUCUUGUCUUGCACGUAUUUAGGAUAUGCAUGCACCUUCUGUUAGUCACAAAAUAUUUUGAAUAACCUAAGCAAUUUAAUUUAGACAAUAUUUCUGAUCAUGUAUGGUAGGUUAUAUUGAGUUAGUGGAAUUUACGGUGAUAAAUUUUCUUCUAUGCUUAUUAUUGUUGAGAAAAAGUUUACACAGCCAGAUUUUUUAUUUUAUUUAUAGUCAACGAGUGAAUACCAUUGAUAUGGUUAUAUUUUAGAUGAUUGCAUUGUAUAGCUGUGUGAAUUAUACGUAGAUGUGCGUUUGUAUAAAUGGUCUUUCUUCUUAUCCAUACACUCUGUAAAAUUGACCUUAAAAAGUCUAUUAAAUUCUCAACUUGCCCCAACUAGAGAAGAUACGCAGCAUAAAGAUUCAAAAUAAAAUCUGUAACAUUCACUCUAUGUAAUAAAUAUUUAUUUUUAUAGUAUCGUUCAACAAAAAAGCCAUAUUUAGAAAGGACAGAAUCUUUGAAUUCACCUCACCCUUUAGCAUCAAUCAAAGUGACACAUAAAUUAUUAAUUAAAAACAUUAAAUUAAAUAAAAAUAGUUAUAAAAAAUAAAAACGCUAAUUUUAACGACGCUAAUGCUUCCACCUAAAUCCUAAACCCUAAAUCUUAAAUUCUAAACUUUAUACCCUAAAUUCGAAACCCAAAUCCAAACCCCUAAACCAAAACCCUAUACCCUAAACCCAAAUCCAAACCCCUAAACCCAAAUUAUAUACCUUAAACCCAAAAAUAAGACUAUAAACCUAAACUCUAUACCU
rnacentral:lncRNA from 1 species